rnacentral:rRNA from 1 species
AUUGAACGCUGGCGGCAGGCCUAACACAUGCAAGUCGAACGAGUGGCGGACGGGUGAGUAAUGUCUGGGAAACUGCCCGAUGGAGGGGGAUAACUACUGGAAACGGUAGCUAAUACCACAUACCAUCGGAUGUGCACAGAUGGGAUGAGCUAGUAGGUGGGGUAACGGCUCACCUAGGCGAAGAUCCCUAGCUGGUCUGAGAGGAUGACCGUCCACCCUGGAACUGAGACACGGUCCAGACUCCUACGGGAGGCGGCAGUGGGGAAUAUGGCACAAUGGGGGCAAGCCUGAUGCAGCCAUGCCGCUGGUAUGAAGAAGGCCUUCGGGUUUUAAAGUUCUUUCAGCGAGGAGGCGUUACUCGCAGAAGAAGCACCGGCUAACUCCGUGCCAGCAGCCGCGGUAAUUC